rnacentral:rRNA from 1 species
AGUCGAGCGGUAGAGAGAAGCUUGCUUCUCUUGAGAGCGGCGGACGGGUGAGUAAUGCCUAGGAGUCUGCCUGGUAGUGGGGGAUAACGUUCGGAAGCGGACGCUGAUACCGCAUACGUCCUACGGGAGAAAGCAGGGGACCUUCGGGCCUUGCGCUAUCAGAUGAGCCUAGGUCGGAUUAGCUAGUUGGUGAGGUAAUGGCUCACCAAGGCGACGAUCCGUAACUGGUCUGAGAGGAUGAUCAGUCACACUGGAACUGAGACACGGUCCAGACUCCUACGGGAGGCAGCAGUGGGGAAUAUUGGACAAUGGGCGAAAGCCUGAUCCAGCCAUGCCGCGUGUGUGAAGAAGGUCUUCGGAUUGUAAAGCACUUUAAGUUGGGAGGAAGAGCAGUUACCUAAUACGUGAUUGUUUUGACGUUACCGACAGAAUAAGCACCGGCUAACUCUGUGCCAGCAGCCGCGGUAAUACAGAGGGUGCAAGCGUUAAUCGGAAUUACUGGGCGUAGAGCGCGCGUAGGUGGUUUGUUAAGUUGGAUGUGAAAU